rnacentral:rRNA from 1 species
CCGGUGACGGUAAGNGAACCCCAGAAAAGCCAUCUCAGUUCGGAUUGCAGCCUGCAACUCGGCUGCAUGAAGCUGGAAUUGCUAGUAAUCGCAGAUCAGCAUGCUGCGGUGAAUACGUUCCCGGGCCUUGUACACACCGCCCGUCACACCAUGGGAGUCGGUAACACCCGAAGUCGGUAGCCUAACCGUAAGGAGGGCGCCGCCGAAGGUGGGAUUGAUGACUGGGGUGAAGUCGUAACAAGGUACC